rnacentral:rRNA from 1 species
GGAUGCGAUCAUACCAGCACUAAAGCACCGGAUCCCAUCAGAACUCCGAAGUUAAGCGUGCUUGGGCGAGAGUAGUACUAGGAUAGGUGACUUGCUGGGAAGUCCGCGUGUUGCAUUCC